GGGGCCGAAAAGUCGUGGUAUACUUCUAGGAUGUAUGAUGCAGCGCCAUCUGCCGGUGCUCGUCUUCCUCUACGUGCUACGUAGCAGCACCCUCUGACGGUGGGACACGCCUGCGAUGAGUAGGCUAUCGCCGUCUUGUAGCCCUGGUCAGCAGCUGUUGCUCUGAUCAGGAAAAUAGACAUACAGAAAAACGUGGAGCUCAUCCUAAAGAAGCUGGGGCAACUGGUGCAUUAUGUCGGGCCUUAAAACGGCCAACCGCAUACUCGCGCGGUGCAGGCAACUCAGUUGCUUGACAUGGCAACUCCGUCACCAUCCAUCUUGGGCCGGUGAGAGGAGGAGAGAAACUCACCCCGGGAGCUUCGUGAGUGUUAUGACCAUGGCAGAUUGCUUUAAAAUCCUGAUUGACGACCUUCUUGGGUUUGGACACGGUCUGCUCGGGCCAGGAGUCCAGAGUAAAGCUCAGUAGGCAUCGCGCCCAUAGGGCAUAAAAUUAUGUGGGUUGAGCUAAAUGUUCGAUUUAGCUGGGAAUAUUCGACGGAAGAUAAAAAACGAGGAAUAUUAUACAUUUUCGGUAUUUUUUAGAGUGAGAGCGUAUAUUUUAUUGGGACUUGCUCUCUUUUUUUGGGACUUACUCUCUAUUUUGUGGUGGGAAAUUUUCUCAAAUUGAGGGAAUUUUUCGGGGAUACAAUGUCCUUUUCAGCUCAACAAUGUCCCUUGCAUUCCAUCCCCACUUACGUUUUCAUACGUUUUAUGUUGCUGGCAACAUUAAUUUGUAAGGGCCAGACUCAUGUGCCGUGAAAUCGAGCAGCAUUGUUCCACAACAUUGCGCGGAUUGAGCAACAUUUUGCAUACCCUGGGAAAUGGAUGUUCAAGAACCGAAAAAAUGUUUGUCAUCUAAUGCACCAAUAAAGGCCAAAACUAGUCAGUUUCUGUUUUAAAGGUA